ensembl:lncRNA
GCUGUGAUCUCAGUUUACUUUUGUUGUUUUUCAGAUUAGGCAUGAUAAAAUAUUACUGUAGAAAGGGGCAUUUCCAUGCAGUUACAACAAGCUGAUUGUUAAUGUCCCAUGGUAGUUGUACAAAUAACUUCCCUUUGAAAAAUGCAGUAUUUCUUAUUCAAACACUCAUUAGUGAACUAAAGGUGUUCAGUUAGUUCAAUAUUUAUUAUUGUUUUAUCUUGCUUCCUAGGUACUGUUACAACUGCAAUAAGUCAUUGUACACCCAUUGUAUCAGGAAUCAGGAUUUCUUUUUUUUUUUUUAAGGUAUUUUACACAACUUCAUCUACACUAUAAACUUCUAUUGGCAAACAUUUAAAUAACCUUACAGCCAAACCGUGCACCACAAAUGACCUAUUCAGUCAUUGGUUUUUUUGUCCACUGUCCUCUAUUUCUAUGACAGUUUGUUACACACUCCAACAGCACUGUGGGGGUACUGUUGCAGUACUGUUUGGGAUUUCAAGCCUACUGAUGAAUCAAUACAGUCCUUUCAUCCGUAGACAUCUUGUCUGCUUCUGUAUUUUCAGAACAAACCUCUCGUCGCAGUGUACCGUUACAGCAUCAAUCGUAUCUGAAUUAAAAUUACCAUAAAGGUGUUUUUGGGAUCAGCUAACACUUAUCUCCAAACCUUCCUUGUUGACAUUCUGCAGCAUCCACAGCAUUAGCUAUGCUGGAAGACAUUCAGUAAAAAUGAUGGCUAAAUUCUUUUUGUCAUUAUCUGUAAACUUGCAUCCUAAAACUUGUUUGAGAAUUUAUAUUGUGUGAAGAUAUUUAAUUACCUAAGAACACUGACAGAAUAAUGGAUUGGGUCCCAAAGCUAUAAAAAUAUGAUUUAUUGCAAUUGGAAUUUGCCUACAUGGGCAGGCCUAAUAGCUAAUAUGAAGGCUUUACUAGUUAAGGCUUUUUGGCUUCAUUUUUAAAAGACAUUGAUGUUACCAGAAACCUUUCUGAUAAAAAAGUAUCAUUUUUCUUCAUGAGAGUGCAUUAAAUGUAUCAUAAUCCUUCCUAUAUUCAUGACAUACCAUACAUCGUAUACAUCAAAUAUACAUGGAAUAUGUGCAUAUCAAUACAUACAUAUAUACAUCAAAAACACUGGAUCAGAAAUAAUUGCAUGUCUGCAAAAUAAAAUACGCAUAUAAAUCAAAAGACUCAGUGCAUUAGAUGCCAUUACAAUAAAUGAUUAACACAGUUAUUUAAUAGUUUGAAUAGUGUAGUGUUUGCUAGCAUUCUACCAACCUGAAAAUUUACAUUAAGAGAAAAUACCCACUAAAACCUGAAACUUGCUGAUGAUACACUUUUUACUGCACACAAGGACUGGUCUUUAUCUGACAACAGAGAUUAAAGAGCAGAUGAUGGACUAUCAUGCUACAGUAUAUACACCAAAAAACAUCAUCACACACUAGAAUUAAACUGCAGUUAAAAAAGUACAGUGUCAUGCAUUACUCUCUUAUCAUGUACUUAUACAGGAGCUUGGUUCAUUUGCAAUUAAUUUCCCACUUUUUCUGCAAAUCAGGAUAACUUAUUGUAAUCUGAGCUUCUACAUUUCUUUCAGACCUUAACAGUGGGCAGAAGCAGAGGCUGUCCUUCUGAGGAACUCUGCUGAAGUCGAUAGAUUACCUGACAUUGCUCUCCUCUCUUUCACCCUGUUGGAAAGUUGCAAUAGACCUGCAGAAACUGGUGGAUUAUGUAGUUUUAAUGGGGUUUAAAGGAGAGGCAGAAUGGACCCAGAGUUUUUAUUUGCAUCCUACUUCUACCCAUGGUUACUCAUACAAAAAAUGUUCCAUCCCUACCAGUUUGCCUUGAUACUAGCAAUCUGCAACAACUUCUUUAUGCCACAUGGUACAUAUUGACUAGUUAUAUCAGGUAAAUAAUGCAAAAAGGCAAUUACUAAACCCACUUUGGGACAGACUACAUACAACCCAGGAAACCUAGUCACUCCAUCAUCUUUUAAAAUCUCUUUAUUCUUUACAUAUGGACUAAAAAGAACGUACUACAGCAAUACACUUGCAUAACAGUUACACCCCUGAAGCAACUUGUAUUUUCAUCUUUUAAAUGCAGCUGAAGGAAUAAUUUAGUAUAAUUUUGCAGAAUUCCAGUCCUGUCACCUAUUUCCAUGUCACAUGCAAAAUCAUUAAUCGAUUCUGAAUUUGGGAAAUACACAUUCUUUUGGUGUUUUAGGUGAUUUAAAUGCUGUUUUGGUAGUGAAUGACUGUUGAUGACUGUGUAAAAUGCACCUGUACUGUACAUGAAAUGUAAUUAUUUCUGUGUAUCAUACAAAGAAACCAAGGUUGUUGUUUUGACAAUUUUGUUUGACAGUCAUAUAUCGUAUUUCAGAAGGCAGCAUAAUACACGCUAUGCUGAAUAAAUAGACAUUUGAGGAGUAUUUAAAUAAAACAUCUGCAUGCUUGAA